CGGCAUUGAAAGAAUGUUUGAAAAGGUGUAAUGAAAACCUACAACGGUAAUGGAGCGGGGAAAACCACAUUUGGAAUGUUCUUAAGCUGUGUGCCUUUGCCCUGUUCAACGAUUAAAUCAAGGUUUUUACAGGCCGAUCAAUGAUGAAUUCAAGGUUUUUACAGGCUGAUCUAGGCCGAUCCAGCGGAAAGUAAAUCCUCAGGUUUCUCUUCUCUGACUUCUUCAGCCAUAUGGAGAUUCGAACAUGUGACUUAAGGUUCAAACCCUGGAAUUAAAAUUUUUUUUCAGAUUCUGGCUGGUAAAAGAUGAAGAAGCAAAACAGGGGAUCAGAAAAUAGCAACCAAAUGAAAUCAAAUUCCCUAUAGCCCUUUCUGCGCCUUCCAUUACAAAGAAGAUUGUAAUUGAAUUAACACUAUAUGCCACAUUUGGAAUGUUGUUAAGUUGUGUGCCUUUGCCCUGUUCAACGAUGAAUUCUUUGGAAGGAUCAAAGGUUUUUACAGGAUUUCUCCUCUGAAUUCUUCAGCCAUAUGGAGAUUCGAACCUGUGACUUAAGGUUCAAACGCUGGAAUUAAAUACCUCUUAUAGCUUCGUUCAACGAAUCCGCAUCAAAUAUGGACAUACAUGUUCGAAUUCAAAAUUUUUUUUCACAUUCUGGCUGAUAAAAGAUGAAGAGGCAAAACGGAGAAUCAGAAAAUAGCAAUCAAAUGAGAUCAAAUUCCCUCUUUUAGUUUUUCACAUUCUGGCUGGUAAAAGAUGAAGAGGCAAAACAGAGGAUCAGAAAAUAACAACCAAAUGAGAUCAAAUUCCCUCUUCUAGCUGCAGGUUCACAGUCCACACUUCACAAACACACGACAUUUUGGCACCCACCGUGGGGUCGGAAUCAUCCUUUUUGGCCUCUCAAGCUUCAACAUACUUAAUCUCUGUCGGGUCUGAAUUAGAAUGUCAUACGAACUCAUUUUUGGCCUAGUACAACAUACUUUGUGAGUUGAAGUGACAAGAGAUCUUGUAUUGUACGAACCUUCAAGAAAAUUUUAAUGUUGUACUAUCUCUCAUCUUGACUCAUAUGAGCUCUUGUCCUAACUCGUAUGGUCUCAGAAAGAUACUAGCACAAGUGGGUAAUGUGUGUCAUAUGAUACUCUGCUACUAUGGUUUUUUUUAA